UACGGGAGGCAGCAGUAGGGAAUCUUCCGCAAUGGACGAAAGUCUGACGGAGCAACGCCGCGUGAGUGAUGAAGGUUUUCGGAUCGUAAAACUCUGUUGUUAGGGAAGAACAAGUACGAGAGUAACUGCUCGUACCUUGACGGUACCUAACCAGAAAGCCACGGCUAACUAC
rnacentral:rRNA from 1 species